GAGGAAGAUCCACCUCGAACCUCUCCUCCUUCACCAUUCUGCUUCUCCUUCACUUACCGCCUUCUUCUCUGCACCCCUCUUGCUCCGUUCCCCUCUCCAAAUUUCCUUCCUUUAUACCUUUUUCUGUUCCCUUUUCGUCUUCCUCACGAUACCAACAUACCUCAAAGCCCAUAUUGAUCGACUAGAGGGAGAAGCAAGAGCAGCAGGACGAGCAAAGGCAUAGAAGAAGAAACAGAAGACGAUGAGAGAAGAAGUAGAACCCAACUGGUUUCCCCGAUGGGAGGAGGAGCUACCAAGCCCCGAAGAGCUUAUGCCCCUCUCCCAGUCUCUCAUCACCCCCGACCUCGCCCUCGCCUUCGAUAUCUUAACGCCAAACCCUAGCUCCGCGCCACCGCCUCCUCCUCCGCCGGAUUUUGAUUCUCCGGACCUCUCCGCCCCUCCUGAAUCUGUCUCCACCGGCUACGCCGGCGAAGAAUCAGCUCGCACCUUGAAACGGCCGCGGCUGGUUUGGACGCCGCAGCUCCACAAACGAUUCGUCGACGCAGUCGCCCAUCUCGGAAUCAAGAACGCCGUCCCCAAGACCAUAAUGCAGCUCAUGAGUGUUGACGGUCUCACUCGCGAGAACGUCGCCAGCCAUCUCCAAAAAUAUCGUCUUUACCUCAAGCGCAUGCAGGGUCUAAGCUCCUCCGCCGCCGGCCCGCCGAUGUCGGCCGCCGACGCGGCCACGGAGCAUCUUUUUUCAAGUAAUCCCAUCCCUCACCCUUUCCUCUGCCGUGACGGAUCUGGACAGGAGACUUAUAUGCAGUUCUUAGCUCCGCCUCUCCUGCAUCAACAUCAACACAUGGCUGCCGCUGCCGCCUCAGUACAGAACCAGCAAUAUUAUCAUCAGAGACAAAUAAGGCAUUUGGGAUCAGCUAGUGAUUAUGGGCUGUUCGCAAGGGGAGCAGCACAGCCCCUUGGUUUGCACAGGAUAGGGGGUUCUUCUAUAGCCAUGAUGCAACCUCCUACUAUGGCUUCCUUGCCAACUUCUUAUGGAGAUGACAUGGAUUCUGGGUCUGGAAGAGGAGGUAGGAGGGUUUUGACUCUUUUUCCAACAGGAAGUGAAGAAUGAACCGAGCUUUCUUAUUCCAUUCUGUUUAAAGAUUACUUGAAGUUAGAAGGAUUUCUGAGAAUCAAGAUGAUGACAUCAAUGGGGGUAGAGAGGAGCACGCAGGCAUGCGGGGAAUGUGACCGGUGGGUGCGACGGAGCUCACAAGCAUGUGGCGGCGAGCUGGUAGGCAAGCAGCAGUGGUGAUCACAUGUGAGCAACAUGAAGCUCGCAAGUUAGGGCAUCAACAUCUAUGAUGGCACACGCUACGGGAAUGAUAGCUCUCGCUGAUGAGGUUAAUUUUUUUAAUGCGGGAGAUGUUAUUUUUGAGUUUAUUUUAAAUUUGGGUGCUAUAUUUUUAAAUAGUAAAACUUAGACGUGAAAUAUUUCAAUUUGAUAGUUUUGAGUGUUAUUUUUGUAAAUCUCCCUUAAAAAAUUGCAUGAAAUUGGCUAGUGGCUGGAGGAAUAAAAAUUUUGCUGGUACGUAUAUCAUGGUCCAAUAAUGCUCCAUAGAGACUGAAUAAGAUGAAGCUUAUUAAAUUUUGUAUGUGCUAAUUAAAGUUUAGUUUAGCUUAUCUGUAUACCCUUAUCAUGGUGAUGAAGAUUCUUCCCCCCUUUUGUCUCUCUACAAUU